UACGUAGGGCGCAAGCGUUGUCCGGAAUUAUUGGGCGUAAAGAGCUCGUAGGCGGCCUGUUACGUCUGCUGUGAAAUCCCGGGGCUUAACCCCGGGCGUGCAGUGGAUACGGGCAGGCUGGAGGCAGGCAGGGGAGAACGGAAUUCCCGGUGGUAGCGGUGAAAUGCGCAGAGUAUCGGGAGGAACACCGGUGGCGAAGGCGGUUCUCUGGGCCACUACUGACGCUGAGAAGCGAAAGCAUGGGGAGCGAACGAGG
rnacentral:rRNA from 1 species